ACUCCUACGGGAGGCAGCAGUGGGGAAUAUUGCACAAUGGGCGCAAGCCUGAUGCAGCCAUGCCGCGUGUGUGAAGAAGGCCUUCGGGUUGUAAAGCACUUUCAGUCGUGAGGAAGGUAGUGUAGUUAAUAGCUGCAUUAUUUGUACGUUAGCGACAGAAGAAGCACCGGCUAACUCCGUGCCAGCAGCCGCGGUAAUACGGAGGGUGCGAGCGUUAAUCGGAAUUACUGGGCGUAAAGCGCAUGCAGGUGGUUUGUUAAGUUCAGAUGUGAAAGCCCGGGGCUCAACCUCGGAAUAGCAUUUGAAACUGGCAGACUAGAGUACUGUAGAGGGGGUAGGAAUUUCGAGGUGUAGCGGUGAAAUGCGUAGAGAUCUGAAGGAAUACCGGUGG
rnacentral:rRNA from 1 species